AGUGAACGCUGGCGGUAGGCCUAACACAUGCAAGUCGAACGGCAGCACAGUAAGAGCUUGCUCUUACGGGUGGCGAGUGGCGGACGGGUGAGGAAUACAUCGUAAUCUACUUUUUCGUGGGGGAUAACGUAGGGAAACUUACGCUAAUACCGCAUACGACCUACGGGUGAAAGCAGGGGAUCUUCGGACCUUGCGCGAUUGAAUGAGCCGAUGUCGGGUUAGGUAGUUGGCGGGGUAAAGGCCAACCAAGGCGGCGAUCCGUAGCUGGUCUGAGAGGAUGAUCAGCCACACUGGAACUGAGACACGGUCCAUGCUCCUACGGGAGGCAGCAGUGGGGAAUAUUGGACAAUGGGCGCAAGCCUGAUCCAGCCAUACCGCGUGGGUGAAGAAGGCCUUCGGGUUGUAAAGCCCUUUUGUUGGGAAAGAAAAGCAGCAGGUUAAUACCCCGCUGUUCUGACGGUACCCAAAGAAUAAGUACCGGCUAACUUCGUG
rnacentral:rRNA from 1 species